rnacentral:rRNA from 1 species
GAUGAACGCUGGCGGCGUGCCUAAUACAUGCAAGUCGAGCGAAGCGGGGACGGGUGAGUAACACGUGGAUAAACUCAUAUAAGACUGGGAUAACUUCGGGCAACCGGAGCUAAACCGGAUACUUAUAGAUGAAUACGCUUUUCAUUAGCUAGUUGGUAAGGUAACGGCUUACAAAGGCAACGAGGCAUAGCCGACCUGAGAGGGUGACGGGCCACACUGGAACGUAGCCCCGGUCCAUACUCCUACGGGAGGCAGCGUUAUGGAAUCUUCCGAAAUGGGCGAAAGCCUGACUGAGCACCGCCGCUUGAGUGAUGAAGGUCUUCGGAUCGUAAAACUCUGUUAUUAGGGAAGCGGUACCUAAUCAGAAAGCCACGGCUAACUACGUGCCAGCAGCCGCGGUAAUAC